rnacentral:misc_RNA from 1 species
GCUACUACCGAUUGAAUGGUUUAGUGAGGACUCCUGAUUGGCGCCGCCGCCCCGGCAACGGAGCAGCGGACUGCCGAAAAGUUGUUCAAACUUGAUCAUUUAGAGGAAGUAAAAGUCGUAACAAGGUUUCCGUAGGUGAACCUGCAGAGGAUA